rnacentral:sRNA from 1 species
UUCAGGUGUUGAAGCAACUGCAGUCCAUUUGGGAACAGGAGCGAGUGCCCCUUUGGAUCAAGCCAUACAAGAUUCUUGUGAUUUCGGCUGAUAGUGGCAUGAUUGAACCAGUGGUCAAUGCUGUGUCCAUCCAUCAGGUGAAGAAACAGUCACAGCUCUCCUUGCUCGAUUACUUCCUACAAGAGCACGGCAGUUACACCACUGAGGCAUUCCUCAGUGCACAGCGCAAUUUUGUGCAAAGUUGUGCUGGGUACUGCUUGGUCUGCUACCUGCUGCAAGUCAAGGACAGGUAGGUGACUUCUGCUGCUCAUCCUAACAUUUCUCCAGGGUUCUCUCUGUCCCUUCGUGUGUAGUUCUCAAUUACUUAUUACUGCCCUCCAUGGCAAAGAUGUGAAAAAUGAAACAAUGUAUUUUAAGCAGAGACAGAUGUGUUCCCAUGACAUUAAGUCAGGAGGCAGACUAAUAAGAACUAGGGUAAAAGGGCAAAGAAAUGAAGGAUUUAUGGGAGGACUAAGGGUUUGAGUGAGCAGGGUCUUCAAGGACAAGGGAAAAUGAUGACAGAGGAAGCUGCAGGGGAGGUACAUCCCAGCUAGAAGAAAUAAUUGAAUGUGAUUAAAGCACAGACUGCACUGCAUGGCAGUGGAGUAGGAGGUGGUACCAUGAGGCAGGUAA